rnacentral:rRNA from 1 species
GAUGAACGCUGGCGGCGUGCCUAAUACAUGCCAGUCGAGCGAACAGACGAGGAGCUUGCUCCUCUGACGUUAGCGGCGGACGGGUGAGUAACACGUGGAUAACCUACCUAUAAGACUGCGAUAACUUCGGGAAACCGGAGCUAAUACCGGAUAAUAUAUUGAACCGCAUGGUUCAAUAGUGAAAGACGGUUUUGCUGUCACUUAUAGAUGGAUCCGCGCCGCAUUAGCUAGUUGGUAAGGUAACGGCUUACCAAGGCAACGAUGCGUAGCCGACCUGAGAGGGUGAUCGGCCACACUGGAACUGAGACACGGUCCAGACUCCUACGGGAGGCAGCAGUAGGGAAUCUUCCGCAAUGGGCGAAAGCCUGACGGAGCAACGCCGCGUGAGUGAUGAAGGUCUUCGGAUCGUAAAACUCUGUUAUUAGGGAAGAACAAAUGUGUAAGUAACUAUGCACGUCUUGACGGUACCUAAUCAGAAAGCCACGGCUAACUACGUG